CUAGGCUGACCAGACAAACUACAGGUAUGAAGGUGCUUGCCUUCUAGAGGGCUGAUCCCUGCCCUUUGCCUCCACCCCCAAGCACCGCCAGGAGUGGCCUCUGGCAUAGAGCCAGCGUUUGUGUCAGAGCACUGCAGUAUGUAUCCCCAAACCCAAGAGCCAAAAAAGAAAAAAAAUGAAAAAACUGAGGUGCAUGUUCCCAUGUGACCGAGUCCUAAACACAGUCAGCUUUGGAACCUGCUGCUGCAGAAUCGCUGUGUGCACCCUCGUGCAGUAAGCAGUAAGCAGUAAUCUGAGGAGGAUCAGAACCAGAGCCAUGACUGGAUAUGCUGUCAGCGUGAGACUGGCUCUGCUCCCGGAGAGGUCCUGGACCUCCCUGGGAAUUUCUGGAUCAGUCGGGCCCAUUCUGGGGCAGGGAGUCUCUAUGCCGGUGGUCCAGAACCCUGGUAGUGUAGCUGUCGUGAUGCAUGUUGUCACUUUGCCACCCUGGACCUCGGCUCUCCCUCCCUCCUUUGUUAUCAACAGAGAAAACGGUUCCCUCCUGUGGAAGGCUCCUCGGUGUCCCUGAACUAUUGAGCUAUUUUAGGAACUGCCACCAGCAAGCACCACUCUGUCUCAGGCAAUGCCACAAGGUGCUCGGACAGUGGUUUCCAGAUUGCCCUGAACAGCCUGGAAAAGUCAGGUGACGUGUGAACUUGCGAGUGUGCCAUGAGUUCUCUGAGAAAGUUAUUCUGAAAGAAAUGCACUGUUUGCCCGAUUCACUACAACUCCCACUUGAAGGAGCUUCAAUUGAAAUCCCACUGGCAAGAGCUUCCACUGGUUCCUCAGCACUGAUACCAAAUAAAUAAGUGAACAAAAGGAAAUGAACUUCAGGAUUUGGGUUUCUUUGCCUGUAUUCCUGAUACAUCACAGAUCACUACACGUGGGUCCGGGCCAGCAUGUGCAACUUCAUGGAAAGGAAUUCAGUGCAGACUUGAACAGACAGGGCGGAAGGGCAGGCUGACACAUAGCACCUAGCUACUGUUUGGGCCCCUGAGGCAGGACCGGCCUUCUGAUGAGCCCCUGAGCAAGUGGGAGACAGAGAUGCUGUCCACAGACUUGGAAGCAAAGUCUGUUGCCUACAGCAGGGGAUCCUGCGGGCUGCUGCCGCCCCUUCCAGCUCUGCAGAGACCAUGCUCAGGGUCUGCCGCCCAGUUGGUGGCCAGGAACAGCUGUUGCGUGCCGAGCUGAUGGGAUUGGAACAACACUGGGUGACCACUGCACUGUUAGUUUAGAUUUCAGACAUGGACCUUUCCAUCACUGGAGGCAGCAAUGAUUAAGCCUACCACUCUGUGCCACCACAGUACCAGCUCACAUGUUCCUAGAUCGAGACCACUGUGGCAUGAAGGAAAACUCGGCUUUCUGCCAGUCUGCGUCUGUAGGUUGUCCCCGGGGCUCGGUGGCUGCAAAUGUCUACCUCUGAUGACAGAAGUGGCUUGUCCACAGAUCUCCUUGUGCAGUUUCAUUCUAAUCACGGGGUUUCAUCAGACAACUGGGGCUCGACUGAAGCUACUGGGCAGUUUGAAAGCAUUUAAUCUCCACCGUGUGAGUUAGUAAAGCAAAGAACAGAGAAGUUGGACAUUUUCUCAGAGUGCCACAGCAAAGAGAUGAGGAGAGACAGCACAUCGCAGGCUGGCUUCAGGACCUGACCCCAAACCACGUCACCGUCCCGUCACCUCCAAGAGUCUGUGUAGAACGUGAGAGACGUGGCAUUUCAGUGACAUGGAGCAGAUGGGAUCAGUACCCAAGUCUGAGGAAGGGGCAUGUUGUUUCUCUUCACAAGUGCACCGGGGGCGCUCUGCCCCUCCUCCAGCUUGGCUGUUGGCACAGGUAUCUGAGGACAAAAGACACAGACAUAUCUGUGUCCUGAACUGAGCCUGUGAUCUGCCAAACGUGCCUACACGUUUCAGUGUGGUAGAGAAACAUGACAUGCACACGCUGUGUUGCUCGGUGCGGCUGCAAGAGAUCCUAAGGAGCUGCCUUCUGUUUCCCUGGUAACGAGCCUCAGCCCAGGCUUCAAACCUCUUGUCACAGGGACACACAAAGAGGGCUGAGGACUGCCCACCCCUCCUCCCUCCAGCCCAUCCAACCAGCCUCUGAGGCUCCCCUGUGUGCUCAGCCACCUGUGGGGUGAGAAGCAGAGCAGUAACCAAGACAACAGAACUCCAGCUGCCUCUCCUCCUGGGAGCCUCCUCCCUCCCCUCUGCCUGCCUGCCCUUCUGCUAAGCCAGGAAACCUUGUGCUUGGAAGCACAGCCUGAGGACCUGCAGCUGCUCUUCACAGAGCUGUCCGAUGCCCGAGUCAGAAGGGGGCUGAGGAAGAUUCGUGUCUGCUCCAAUGGUCUGUGACAAUUACCCGAACCACUGUAUUUUGUUAGAACCUCCGGUAUCAAUAUACACUACACAAAAUGCAUAUUAACAGGUAUCUGUAAAGUUGUAAUCCCCGAGCAUAACCAGCUAUGGCCUAAACUCUCAAAUUAGAAUGUUCAUUUUGGGGGGCCGCGUUGACGGGCUCAGGGAUCAUUCCUGGUGGGCUCAGGGGCACCAAUGGGGUGCUGGCGAUCGAACCUGGUUGGCCGCGUGCAAAGCAAAUGCCCUGCCCUCUGUACACGCCCUCUGCCUGGCCCCUCAAAUUAAACUAUUCCAGUUAAUUAGCACUAGCCAUCCUACAUGUGAGUGGGAAAAUGUUUUCAUUAUAAUCAUAACAAGCAUCGCUCCAGAGCCUAAGGUUGUACUUCCUUUGUUGCUGCAAUUAUUGUUGUUGUUGGUUUGGGGUCACACCCAGUGGUGCUCAGGACCAUACCUGACUCUGCCCUCAAGGAUCACUCCUGGUGGGCUCCGGGGACCCUAUGGGAUGCAGGGAUCUAAGGCGGGUCAGCCAAGUGCGAGGCAAGAGCCCUACCUGCUGUACUAUUUCUCCAGUCCCCCAAGAUGAUAUAGCAGACUAGAUGGUUAACGCUUAUUUGUGUCUCUUCUUUCUCAGCAGCUCCUGAACUUCUGGUCUGUCUGUCUGACAUUCGUUUGGUGACAACAGUCAGCAGUCCCUCCGAUCUGAGCUUCUGGAAGAAAGCAGGUGCUGCAGACCUUCCCCAGGACUGAGAAGCCUCUGCCUGGAAUGUGGCUCAUCUUCCAGGCAAACUCACAGGCCUUGUCGAGACCUAGAGAACGUACUGUCACAAAAGCCACCUGGACAGAAAGAGAACUUGAACAGUACCAGUACGAGUCUGAACUGAAGGGCUCCUCUCUAAGCAGCCCGAGAGGUUGCCUCAGAGGAGCCUAGAGAGCUGGGGGUGGGGGGCGUGACAGGCAACAGCCUUGAGAGGGGGCCCCACAAGAGCAAUGGAGUGAUAGGGCCUAAAGUCCUAGUGAAGUGAUGGAGUAGGAAUUAUCCAACAAGAUGCCCCCCUUUCACAUGUAAGGACAAGAGGAAUGUGCCAGUGGCUGCUGAAUGACAUAGGAGAUCACUGCGGGCAAAGAGGCUGUGGCAAGGAGAGGGAGCGUCCUGGAAGAGGAUGAGAGGGAGAAGCAAUUCUCUCCUGCUUAGGGAUUUCCAAGGAAACAACUCACAGAGUCAGAAUGGUUCCUUCUCAGGGCGGGGGCGGAUCCCGAGCACGAGCACACGGUGCUCAAUGCAUAACCAGGUGAGUGUCUGCCACCACGUUUCAGCUGCUGAGACAGAGGCACAGGACUAUGCCCUGGACUGGGGCAUCCUGGACUAGGGAGAAAGGACAAAAGGUGCCUUGGAGGGGGAGAGUUGAUGGUCUUUGGUAACCUGGGUAGCAGGAGCCUGGCUCAAAACUAGGAAGGUUUCGGCCUGGAGGCGGCCCGGAAGGGAAGCAGGGCUGGAGAGGGUUCAAGGGUUGGCGAGCCUAGGUUGAUGCUGCGCCUGCACUGGAGCCUCAGCAUGGCACGGGUUCCCCGGGAGCAACACCCCUCUGCACCCGCCCCUCCCCCAGCACACAGGGCAGGGAGUGGUGACCCCCAAAGCAGAAACAGAGAGAAGACAUUAGAUGCAUGUGCGGAUAAGAGAGCUCGCGCCUGGCAGGCCUAGGGCCCAGGCUUCCAUCCCCGGCCCGCAGGGUCUCAGGGGCAAGAGGGUCUCAGCAACAGUACUUGCCUCACUCCCACCCCGCUGAAUGUGGAAUCUGGGGCACUUGAGGGGGGCUGGGAGGGGAUCACAGAGGGCCGGGCUCCAAAGGGACAUACAUCACCGAGGGCUGGGAUUUCCCUGACGCCCAUCCAAGAGGUCCUAAUGUCUCCUCAGUGUAAGUCAUGCUGCUGUGGUCUGAGGGGACCCGAACUGUGGGUGCUGAGGGGCAGGAAGGCACCGUUCAGAGGGAUGUGGAGCCACCUCUGAGGGCUGGGAGCACCGUACCCUGGGGCUGCCUAGGACCACCUCUGCUUGGUCCUAGUCCUGUCCAACAGUUUAACAGGCUCUGUUUCCUGAGCAGAAGCACCCAGCAAAACCCAGAGCAGGGGCGGAGCGAUGGCACAGCGGGUGGGGCGUGUGCCUUGCACGCGGCAGAUUGGGGUUCGAUCCCCGCAUCCCAUAUGGUCCCCGAAACAGGCCAGGAGUCCUUCCUGAGUGCAGAGCCAGGAGUAACCCCUGAGCAACGCAGGGUGAGACCCAAAAGAAAAAAAAAGAAUCCGGAGUAGCUCAGAGCAAGCACGCCCGCAGCCCUUUUCCCCGUCACCUGACUCCCAGCCCGGUUGCCAUGGUUCCGGGGGCGGUGCCCGAGAAGGCUUUGGAGCCCCGGAGGGUAGCAAAGGAACAUCUCGGCGGUCCCUUCGGAACUUUUUCUAGUGCUUUCCUGUUAGUUUCUGUCGGCGUCAUUCCAGAUCUUCAGACCUCAGCGAGGAAACUGGCUGAAUUUACGGCGUUUCCGUCAUCGAGGUUUCGUGGUGGAUAUUUUGUCCUGCAGGUGUCAGUGUUGUCCCGUUCCUCCCAGGCCCGCUCUUCCCCCCUCCCUUCGUGCUUAUAAAAAAUCAAUAGCAAAAAAAAAAAAAGCCGCAGUAGCUCAGAGCUGCCAGGCCCGCUGCCCUGUUCCCUGUCACCUGACUCCAGCCCGGUUGCCAUGGUUCCGGGGGCGGUGCCCCAGAAGUCUUUUGAGCCCGGGAAAGUGUAGCAAAGGAACAUCUCGGCGGUCCUUUCGGAAGUUUUUCUAGUGCUUUCCCGUUAUUUUCUGUCGGCGUCAUUCCAGAUCUUCAGACCUCAGCGAGGAAACUGGCUGAAUUUACGAUUUUUUGUUCAAUUAAUUUCCGGGGUCGAUAUUUUUUCCUGCAGACGGCAGUGUUGUCCCGUUGCUCCCAGGCCCUCUCUUCCCCCCUCCCUCCCUGCUUAAAAAAAAUCAAUAGCAAAAAAAAAAAAAAUGCCGACGGAGCUCUGAAGGCCCAGGCACGCCGGUAUUUUCCUGGACCGCCUGACUCCCAGCCCCGUUGCCAAGGUUCCGGGGGCGGUGCCGGCGGAGUCUUCAGAGCCCGGAAGGUAGCAAAGCAACCUCUGGGCGGUCCUUUCGGAAAUUUUUUUUUUUUUUUUGCUUUUUGCGUCACACACAGCAAUGCACAGGGGUUACCCCUGGCUCUGCACUUUGAAAUUACUCCUGGCGGUGCUCCCGGGACCAUAUGGGCCGCUGGGAAUGGAACCGCCCUACCGGCUCUGCUAUCGCUCCAGCCCCCUCUCGGAACUUUUUCUAGUGCUUUCCCGGUAUUUUCUUUCGUCGUCAUUUCAGAUGUUCAAAUGCCAGCGAGGAAAACUGGGUGCAUUUAUAGCUUUUCCUUCAUCGAGUUGUCGUGGUGGAUAUUUUGUCCUGCAGGGGGCAGUGUUGUCCCGUUCCUCCCAGGGCCGCUCUUCUCCCCCUCCCUUCCUGCUUCAAAAAAAUCAAAAGAAAAAAAAGCCGGCCCAGCUCGGACAGAUCCCGCCCGCCGCCACGUUCCCGGAUCACCUGUCCCCCGCCCCUUUGCCAGGGCUCCACGGCGGUGCAAUGUUCGGAACAUCUCGGCGCUCCUCAGCGGUGCUUUCGGAACUUUUUCUAGUGCUUUCCCGUUAUUUUCUGUCAGAGUCAGUCCAGAUCUUCCGACCUCAGCGAGGAAAACCGGCGGAAAAUAGUUUCUGCCACUAGAAAUGGUCACCGUUCCUUUUAUCUUCCUCUAGAUGGCAGUAGCGCCGCGCUCAGCACCUCCGCAGCACUCUCCCCCCUCCCUUUGCGUUUCAAAAAAAUUGCCUCGCGUUUUUUUUUUUUCUUUUCCCUUUGAAAGGGAGUUCUUCCUGUCUGGGAGGCGACUAAACCUGUGCAAGUCCUCCUCUUUGUGGAGAUACUUUUUAAUUUGCUUCAGUUGGAAAAACAAAUUCUGGUUUAAGAAAGUGUAUAUUCUGUCACUGAAAUGAAAAGUUAAAAAAAUACCACUAGUCAGGCUCUUAAAGGGAAAGUAUCACAAUUCAAUUUCACUAAACUAGGAGCUGCAGAAACUAGGUUCUCCCAUUAGAAAUGUUCACAGUGGUUCCUGCUUCCUGGGGCUGCUGGGUUGUGGCAGGGCUAGUAUACAGAGAUGGGAGCCCUCCUUGAUGCCUUCUUUCCAGCCCUUUUGUUCUGUUUCUUUUGGGUACCUGAAAUGGGCUUGGCGGGGGUGGGGGGGUGUGAUGUGCACAAUAGCUGUGCCUGUUCCUGACUCUGCUUGGGGUUGCUGGUGUUGCAUGGUUGACCUGGUGGUGGUGGGAGAAUCUAAUCAGGGUUUGAAGCUAGCAAAGGAAGGACACUGUCCCCGUUAUUUAUUUAAUUAUUUGUUUAGUUUUUAAUGAAACCCAUUUAUUAAGGAAAUAGAAUGGAGAAUAGGGAAUUCCAUUAUGUAAAAGAAUGGAAUUUUGUAUCCCAAGAGGUAAUCAGGUGACCACAGAGAAGCCUGCAUUUGGAAAGUGGAUUUUCUUUUUUGUGUGUGUGAAACAAUUUGGUUUAGGAUAUUUGGCGGUGGGGAAUAGGGCUUACUCCUGGAUCUGUGUGCUUAGGCAUCACUACUGGCUGGACUGAGGCCUGGUGCUGGGAUGGAACCUGCAUGAAAGGCAUGUUCUUUACCUGUUGUACUGUCUCUUCAGCCCUGAUUUAGGAUGGUUUUAACAGUAAUGGUAGAGGCAUCUAAUGGUCCAAUACCACACCCACCUCAGAAUCUUUGAGUUGCUCUCUAUAAGUCUCAGUUCCUCUCCCUGACCUUAAUAAACUCAGUUUAUUAGGGACUCUCAGGGUUUGUUUUAUUUUACCAUUGGCCAUUUCAGGCCCUUCCUAAGUUCUUUUGUCCAUAGAAGGGAUCAUUAUUAGUUCCUUGUCUCUCUGACUCUUGUCCUUCUGACUCACCUUGAUCAGAAAGAUAUCCUCCUGUUCCAUUCAUGUCUAGGGUAACCGCAUGAUUUCAUCUUUUCUUAUGGUUGAGUAGUAUUCCUCUGUGUGUAUGUACCAGUUUCUUCAUUCUUUAUCCACUCAUCUGUUCUUGGGCACUGGGUGUUUCCAGAUCUUGGCUACAAGGAAUAGCAUUGCAAUGAGCAUAGAAAUGCAACUAUCUUUACCAAUUAAUUUCUUGUGCUGUUAGAGUAGAUGCCAAGGAGUGGAAUCUCUGGGUCUUAAGGGAAUUUAAGUCUUAAUUUUUGAGCAGUAAGGCUAUUGUACUCCAUUUUCGCUCACCAUUUUAGUUUUAGCACAUUAUUUUUAGAAAAGAAUAUAAUACCCCCAGUAUGUUCUCAGUAUCUUUGCUAAUCAAGUAACUGACUUUUUUUUACAGGUGCCUGACUUUUACAGUACUUUCACUGUUCUUCUUGGUUUUGGUUACAGGGGGUAGGGGUCAGGGGAGGCACGCUAGUCAUACUUGGUGCAGGGAUUGAACCCUGGCCACUGCAUACAUGUGCUCCAGCCUGUGUAACUAUCUCUCUUAGCCACAUAAGUCUGUUUUUAGAAAGACAGGUUGCUUGCAAACUGAUAGUCCGAGUGACCAAUAAAUUCCCAUGUGGACUGGUUCUCUGAGGCAUGGUUCAAUCAUCCGGAGUAUACCUAAAUCUAAAGAAAAAUUUCUGAUGGAGGUUUCAGCCUUUAUGUCUGUCCCUUGGAUAGACUUUUGGUAAAAGGGCUCAAGAAACUAAAUGUUCUUUCCAUUUUGAACAGCCCAAUCCCAAAAGGGGAAGGCAAGUUUUAUUUGUUUUGUGUUGGUUUUUGUUGUUUAUUGUUGUUGGUAUUUUUUUGUUUGUUCGUUUGUUUUGCUUGUUUUUUUUUUUUGGUUUGGGUUACUCCUGGCUCUACUAGGCUUACUCCUGGCUCUGCAGUCUGUUCUGGGAUCAUUCUUGGUAGUACUCAUGGGACAAUAUGGGGUACCCCCCAUAAACCGGGUUGUAAGGCAAGGCAAGUGCACAUACUAUAUAUCCAUACUAUAUAUAUGUGGGGGGGGGUGUCCAGCCUUCUCUGGAUCUGUUGCAGGCUCCAGGUGAAAGUCUUGUCAGGCCUUAGUUCCUGUUUUCUGCAAAGUGGUUUUUUGCAACUUCAGGGCUAUUGAUAGUAUUAAUUCCCAGGAAAUUCAUUGCCACUGCCUAGGUGGAAAGGGGCCGUACCUAUCUACCUGCCUGUCUGCAUCACUUUUUCUGAUAGAACAUUCAUGUCAGUCAUUAUAGGAGACAUUCAGUCAAAAAAUAAAAAACAAUGUAUGAGGACAGUGAGAGAUCUCACUGAGGUCUGACUGAGGCAGAGCAUGAAUAGAAGGGUGUAUUGCUGACCUUGCUUUAGACUGGUCAUCAAAAAAGCACAGGAUAGCUGAGUAGACAAGAGGGGAUUUAUUUCCAAGAAACAACUUAACUUGGGAAGGAUGUCUAUCAGCACAGGCUACAGAGCAAAGAGAGGAAGGAGGGGGGUCUGGUUUUUAAUAACUGAUGGAGUUAAGGUGACUUAACAGUUUCUGUGUAUUUGGUUGUUUUUCAGGAAACGCAUGCAUGUUUAUGAGUGGAAACAGUGAGAUGUGCUAUUGAGGAACGUACGCGGACGGACAUCAGGUGAAGAGAAAAUGGUGAAAAAACAUUAUUGGGGUUUUUUUAGUAUAGUAAUGAGGAGAAAGAUGGCUGUAGGUCAGAGUUCCAUGAAACAGUCUCCACUGAUCAUAUCGUCCUGCCAGGGGUCUGAGUCCCUUAUUAGACCAAAGGUACCCUUGAGGUUCUGUCCGCAGCAAUGAAAGCCAAAACAAUGUAGCAAGGUGACUUCUCCCUGAGAGCGUUUUCAAAUGCUCCAAACUGUAAGCCUCAAGUCAAUAUAUCUUAGCUUCUUUGUUGGUUUAGGGUUUGGUUGUUUUGCAAAAAGUCUUGGUCCUCAGCUUCAAGAGCUCUGCAUCCUCCAAAGACAAGAAGAGAAUAGCAGGGGCUGGAGCGAUGGCACAGCGGGUAGGGCGUUUGCCUUGCACGCGGCCGACCCGGGUUCGAAUCCCAGCAUCCUAUAUGGUCCCCUGAGUACCGCCAGGGGUGAUUCCUGAGUGCAUGAGCCAGGAGUGACCCCUGUGCAUCGCCACCAAAAAGCAAAAAAAAAAAAAAAAAAAAAAGAAGAGAAUAGCAUGGACCUGUUCACACACAGGACAAGAUAAUCUGGGUGAAGUUCAGGGGCCCAGGAAAGUCAGUGCAAUCCUGAAAGGUGACUCCUCAAUCUGUCUUGAGAGACCCUGAAGACCAAUCCACAAGUCAUACAGGAUCCCAGCCAGCUGGUGGUAUUCAAAGAUGCCUCCGUGGUGCUUAUCUGACCUCAGGAUGGUGUGGAGGCCACCCCCAACCCAUGCAUCUGGCAGCAAGAAGCCUAGUAGGUAUUCUUCACACCGGACAAGUGACCCAUUGACUCUAUGCUGCCCAAUGGAACAGAAUUUUCCCUUUUGUACAUGUCACAAAUUUCUUUACUUAAUAAAUUGCAAACCUGAGCAAAGAUAAUAUGCAGGAAAAACAUAUUGAUAAUUCAUUAAAGAUUAUUCCUCCAGAAUUGCAAAGAAUAUUUCUUUUCUUUUUCUGGUAGGGGGAGCACAUCCAGGGAUGCUCAGGAGUAACUCCUGGCUCUGCAGUCAGGAAUCACUUCUGGCAAUGCUCGAGGGACAUUAUGGGAUGCCGGAGAUGGAACCUGGGGCAGCAGCAGCAGCAGCCCUGCCCACUGUACGAUCGUUUCUCUUCACAAAUAAUAUUAUUUCUUUUUUUAUUAUUUUUGGCUUGGUCACACCCAGCGAUGCUCAAGGGUUACUCCUGGCUCUUCACCCAGAAAUCAUUCCUGAAGGUGUGCAGGGGACCAUAUGAGAUUACGGGGAUCAAACUUGGAUUGGCUGAAUGCAAGGCAAAUGCCCUACCUGCUGUACUAUCACUCCAGUCCCACAAAUAAUAUUUAUAUACAUACAUCUUUUUUGGGGGGGGGAGGGACACACCCAGCAGUGCUCAGAGCUUAUUCCUAGCUCUGUCCUUAGGGAUCACUCGUGGCAUGACUUAGGGAACUAUAUAGAGUGCCAGGGAUCAAACCCAGUCAACGAUAUGCGAGGCAAGCCCCCUACCUGUACUAUCACUCCAGCCCCUAUACAUAGAUCUUUUUACCAUCUGUGGUGGUCUAUGAAAGAUUACCAGGCAUACUGGAUUGAAAGACAAACUUUUAAGAAUCUAGAAGCACAUUAAAAAUUAUUUUUCAUACCCUCCUUAGCAUUUUUUACUAUCUUCAAAUAAUAUGCAUAUAGAUUUUAAUAGUUGUAUGAGAGGAAAUAUAGCCCUACCCAGACAAAUAUAAUGCAACUACUUUUCUUAUUUUUUGUCUUUUAAUCAUGCUUGUGGUUUUAGAUGCAUAGACAAUUUAAUUAACCAAUAAUUUGGAUUUGGGGCCCACAGCUGGCAGUGCUUGGGCUAUAUUUCCAGCCCAUUGUUUAGGAGUCACUGCCAGUUGUGCUCAAGGGCUCAGCGGUGCCAGGGAUCCAAUUUAGGUCUCUAACAUGCAAAGCAUGCACUGUAGACUGUAGCACUUUGAGGUAUUUCCUCAGAUCAGAGUUUUUUUUAAUUAAAUCACAGUGAGAUACCAACAGUUCCGAAGUUGUUCAGGAUUGAGUUUCUUCUUCUGGUUUUUUCUGUUUUCUUUUCUUUCUUUUUUUUUUUUUUGCAUUUUGGGUCACACCCAGUGGUGCUCAGAGGUUACUCCUGGCUCUGUACUCAGGAAUCACUCCUAGCAAUGCUCGGGGAACCAUAUGGGAUGCCGGGGAUAGAACCUGGGUCGGCAGUGUGCAGAUCAAACACCCUACCCGCUGUUCUAUCUCUCUGGCCUCUUUAAAUUAUUUUUUGGGGGGUCACACCCAGCAAUGCUCAGGGGUUACUCCUGACUCUGCACUCAGGAAUUACUCCUGGGGGUUCCUGUGGGACCAUAUGGGAUGCCAGGAAUCCAACCCGGGUCGGUCGCAUGUAAGGCAAAUGCCCUACCCGCUGUACUAUCGCUCCGGCUGAGUUUCACUCAUAUAAGGUUCCAACACCUCAUAUAUUCACUUCACCAGUGUACAUUUCCCACCACCAAUGUCCCCAGUUUCCCUCCCACACACCCCACCACCUGCCUCUAUGAUAGUUUGACAGGCACUUUUCUUCUCUCUCUCCCUCUCUCUCUCUCUCUCUCUCUCCCUCCCUCUCCUUCCCUCCCCCUCCCUCCCUCCCUUCCUCCCUCCCUCCCUCCCUCCCUCCCUCCCUCCUUUUGGGCAUUGUAGUUUGCAAUAUAGAUACUUAAAUGUUAUCAUGUAUAUCCCUUUACCUACCUUCAAUACUCAGUUCUUGUCCAGAGUGAUCAUUUCAUGCUAUUAUUGUCAUACUGCAGACCAGAUAUUUGAAUGUAGUGAUCUAUCUCUAACAUUUUUUUUCUGCAUGGCUACAAAGCUGAAAAGGCCCUUCCUAACCCAUCUGUACCAUAGCUUAUUUCCCCCCACCCUAUGUGAUCCAAGAGUCCCGUUGAUGCAUUCAGGAGUCAAAUCAAUGCCUAGCUAGAAAUCUCCAUGUAGGGGCACCUUGAACAAAGGAAGGGCACGCAUAUACUGCCUAAGCCCAUGUGUUGCUUGUGCCCACAUGGCAGAGCACAUGUGGUGCCUGAGCACAUGUGUCGCCCACAUCUCCCUUCUUGAGAUGUGUACUGAGCCUCUCUCUACCUUUGGAGAAGCAUUCCUUGCAUUCCUUCCCCCCCCCCCAAUAAAAUCUGUUUUUACUUAAGUGCUCAUCUACUCUUGAAAUUCCUUUCUGUGAGGCAGACAAGAGCCUAUAAACCCUGGGUGAGGCCCAGGGCUGACUCUCCUUUCCUGCAAAGAGCAAAUCUCAUUCCAUCCUGAGUCCUAAUCUUCCCAGUAGAUCCCAGGGUGGCAGAGGUGGAUCAGGAGAAAGUGACUUUCUCUCUCCUCUCCACCUCACAUAAGCCAGCCGUGGGGGCCCACCAACUUAACUGCCACCUUGUCUCUCAGGAACCCUUCAGCACUAGGCCUGGAAUUCUGCAUCUUAUUGGCUUUCCAGGCUCCUGAGAAAGGUCCUUUGUGUCAAAGUGAUGUAAGCAGGCAGUGAGGUAGAUAGGGAAGCCCUCCCCCCACCCCCCAUCCGAGGCAAUGGCAAUGAAUUUCCUGGGAAAUAAUAUCAAUAGCUCUGAAGUUGCAGUAGGACUUUCACCUGGAGCCUGCAACAGACCCAGAGAAGGCUGGACCACCACCCCUUACCACCCCUUCCUAGAAAAGCUCCAGCAGGAACAAAAAUGCCAGGAAAGGAAUGUCAAAGAUCGCAUAGACCACUCCCUACUCUGUCCCCCUUGGCUAGCUCCUUAGCAAUGAACUUUACCAGGUAGAAGCCCCACCUGGGGGCAGGUUUGAAAAACUCUAUAAAGGGGGCUGGAGUGAUAGUACAGCAGGUAGGGCGAUUACCUUGCACACAGACAACCCGGGUUUGAUUCCCAACAUCCCACAUGGUCCCACAAACACUGCCAGGAGUGAUUGCUGAUUGCAGAGCCAGGAGUAACCCCUGAGCAUCGCUGGGUGUGACCCAAAAAGCAAAAAUAAAUAAAUAAAUAAAUAAAUACAUAAAUAUAAACCCUAUAAAAGCCACCUUGAGAAAAGGAAGGACAUACAUAUGUUGCUGGAGCCCAUGUGCUGCUUGUGCCUAGACAGUCCAGCACACGGGGUGCCUGCAACUCCCCUCAACAUGUGUACUUUCAUCUCUAAUGCUGGGGUGUGUGUCGUGGCUUCUCAGCCUUUGGAGAAGCCCGUGUUCUCUGUUGAGCACCUCUCUCUCUCUCUCUCUCUCUCUCUCUCUCUCUCUCUCUCUCUCUCUCUCCCCCUCCUCCCUCCCUUCCUCCUUCCUCUUCCUAAAAACCUCCAAAUAAAAUCUGUUUUUCUUUCAUUGCUGUCUACAAAUUCUUCUCUCCGAGGUGAGACAAGAACCCAGUAACCGUGGGUUCCAGAGUAACAAAGGUAGAUGGGCAGAAAGUGACCUCUUUCCUUCCGCCUCACAUAAGCCACCCCUGGGGUCCGUGGAUAUCAAAAAGCCUCAAUGCCUUAUGGUUAGUUCAGGUUUCAAAGGCUCUUUUCCCCAAAAUGAUGUCAGUGGGCCCCACAGGUGACUUAUGUGAAGUGGGGAGCAGAAAGAGGGUCACUUUCUCCCAAUCCACCUCAGCCACCCAGGACCCAGGGUGUUCUUAUCUCGACUUGCAGAAAGGAAUUUCAGGAGUAGAGAAGCAGUGAAAUUAAAGUUUAUAUUUGGAGGUUUUGAAGGGAAGGAGGGAGAGAAAGUAGCAGAGAGUGGAGAGUAUCAUGCUCAAGAGAGAAUCUGGGCUUCUCCAAGGGCGGAGAGAGCCCCUACACACAUCCCAGCAUAACAUGAAAGCAAUCCCUUCAUGAUUGGAUUUCAGUCAUACAGCAGGGAGAUGCGGGCGACCAGAUGUGCUCCGCCACAUGGGCGCAAGCAGCACAAGGGCUUCAGCAGCAUAUGUGCGCCCUUCCCUUGUUCAAGGUGGUCUUUAUAGGGUUUCUCCAACCUGUCCCCAUGUGCGGCUCCUACCUAGGUCUAAGUUUAUUGCUAAGGAGUUUGGGAGUAGUGAUGAUCUUUUUUUGAAAUUCCUUUCCUGGCCUUUUGUCUCUGGAGGAGCUUCUCUGGACUGUUGCUGUAGAUGGGUGAGGGUCUUUUAAGGCCUCAAUUCCUGUUUUUUUCCUGUUUUCUUCUGAGGGUCUUAUCAGCAGCAAAUUCAGGCCAUUUCUUCCCAGGAAAUUUUGCCAUUGCCUUUGGAGGGGCCUUCCCUAUCGCACCUACAUCAAAAACACUUCUUUCCUUCUUUCUUUCUUUCUUUCUUUCUUUCUUUCUUUCUUUCUUUCUUUCUUUCUUUCUUUCUUUCUUUCUUUCUUUCCUUCCUUCCUUCCUUCCUUCUUUCUUUCUUUCUUUCUUUCUUUCUUUCUUUCUUUCUUUCUUUCUUUCUUUCUUUCUUUCUUUCUUUCUUUCUUUCCUGCCUCCCUCCCUCUCUCUCUCUCUUUCUCGUUUUCUUCCUUCCUUCCUUCCUUCCUUCCUUCCUUCCUUCCUUUCUUUCUUUCUUUCCUCCCUCCCUCCUUUCUGCUUUCUUUCUUUCUUUCUUUCCUUCUUUCUUUCUUUCUUUCUUUCUUUCUUUCUUUCUUUCUUUCUUUCUUUCUUUCUUUCUUUCUUUCUUUCUUUCUUUCUUUCUUUCUUUCUUUCUUUCUUUCCUGCCUCCCUCCCUCUCUCUCUCUCUUUCUCGUUUUCUUCCUUCCUUCCUUCCUUCCUUCCUUCCUUCCUUCCUUCCUUCCUUCCUUCCUUCCUUCCUUCCUUCCUUCCUUCCUUUCUUUCUUUCUUUCUUUCUUUCCUCCCUCCCUCCUUUCUGCUUUCUUUCUUUCUUUCUUUCUUUCUUUCUUUCUUUCUUUCUUUCUUUCUUUCUUUCUUUCUUUCUUUCUUUCUUUCUUUCUUCUUAAUUUUAUUGAAUCACUGUGAGAUAGUUAGAAGCUUUCCUGUUUGGGUUACAAUCACACAAUGAUCAAACACCCAGUCCUCCACCAGUGCACAUUCCCCACCACCGGUAUCCCGGGUAUACCCCCCCCCCCUUUCCCACCUUCUCCCUGCCUCCAUGGCAGAUAAUAUUCCCCAUACUCUCUCUACUUUUGGGCAUUAUGGCUUGCAACACAGACACUGAGAGGUCAUCAUGUUUGAUCCGUUAUCUACUUUCAGCAUGCAUCUCCUAUCCCGACUGAUUCAUCAGCCAUCAUUUUCUUAGUGAUCACCCUUCUCUAUUCCGUCUGCCUUCUCCCCUCCGCUCAUGAAGCAGUCUUCCAGCUAUGGGGCAAUCCCCCUGGCCCUUGUAUCUACUGUCCUUGGAAAACACACAUAUCUAGGACCUGCAACACUACCAAAAAUUCCAACUGGCACCUUAGCUUGAAUCCCAUUGCCAGGCAGUCCAUUAACAUUGCUUACCUUUCUAUCUCCUUGCAAGAGCUCUUCCACUCCUGCUUUUGAUAUAUAGGCAGGCAGGCAGAUAGGGAAGGCCCCCUCCCCAGGCAAUGGCAGUAAAUUUCCUGGGAGUUAAUAGCUGAGUUGCAAAGGCCUACAUUGCAGAAAACAGGAACUAAGGCCGGAUAAGACCCUGAUAAGACCCUCACCUGGUGCAAGUAAGGGACCUGAGGAGACUGGACCCCUUCCCAUGAAGGAAAUUCAUCUGACGCUGGGAUUUGUGUAGGGGCUCUCUCCACCCUUGGAGAAGCCCCGGUUCUCUCUUGAGCAUGAUACUCUCCACUCUCCCACUUUCUCUUCCUCCUUCCCUCCAAAACCUCCACAUAAAAUCUGUUUUACUUCACUGCUUGUCCACUCCUGAAAUUCUUUUCUAGGAGGCAAUACAAGAACCUAGUAACCCUGGAUCCCGGGUGGUAGAGGUGGAUCAGGAGAAAGUGACCGUCUUUGGGCUCCCCACUUCUCAUGCUUCACCAGUGGGGCCCACCGACAUCACUUUCACUUGACAAAAACCACAUUGCUUUAGGGACAGAAAGAAUAGUACAAGAUUGUAGGUACCUGCUUUGUGUGUGGCCUAGUCUGAUUCUAGAUAUGGUACCCUGAGUCUAGCCAGGAGUCAUUCCUGAAAACUGGGUGUGUCACAACGCUCCACCCUGCAACCACAAAUGCUUUUUUUCCAAGAAUUUUCUUAUUAAGAUCUUUAAACUUGUUUAGAGCAUUACAGAGCCGUUCAUGAUUGGAUUUCAGUCAUACAGUAGUCCAAUACCCAUCCCUCCACCAGGGUACAUUCCCCAGCAGGAUUGUCCCCAGGUUCCCUUCCCCCCGCCAACACGCCCUUUUGGCAGGGGCUUUUCCCUCUCUCAGGUGAGGCAGAAGCGGUGGCCGCCGGUCUAUGUAUGCUUUCGUGAUUCCCACUUAAUAAAUAUGCUCACACUCAAGAUUUGGAAAGUAUGAGAAGAAAAGCUGCUUCCCAAAUGGGGAGGAGCUUAGUAUAAGACUAAGUUAAAUAUGGCUCUUUUUGUGAGAUUUUUUAUAGGAAAACUGGGUCUUUGUGUGACAGACAAAGCAGGGAAUCUACAGGGUGGUUGGCUAGUUUGUCUUUCUGCUCACCUGCCUUGGGUUCAUUAUGUUAGCCUUGUGACUCCUAGUUCUGGGACAGAAGAGUAGGAUCCUGGGGUGCUAUAAAAGAUAGGGCUUUGGUGAUGAGGUGUGCUCAGUCCAUGAAGAAAACUGGAAUGACUGGCAAAGAAACGGUAGACUCCCAUAUCUUGUUGGCUAGGGGAAACAGGCUUAUUCUUUCAUUUUAAAUUAAUAUUUAUUAUACUGAAAGGGUCGGCA